rnacentral:rRNA from 1 species
AAGUCGUAACAAGGUCUCCGUAGGGUGAGUUUUUACCGAUUUCUAACUAAUAUUGAAUGCAUGCUAACAGAUUUUCUAGUGAACCUGCGGAGGGAUCAUUACUGAGCUGAGGGUCUCUGACCCGACCUCCAACCCUCUGUGAUUUAAACUUCUGUUGCCUCGGGGGCGACCCGGGCCUCGCGUUCAGGGCCCCGACGGACCAUUUCAAAACACUGCAUCUUUGCGUCGGAUCGAAUAAAGCAAAUUGAUUAAAACUUUCAACAACGGAUCUCUUGGUUCUGGCAUCGAUGAAGAACGCAGCGAAAUGCGAUAAGUAAUGUGAAUUGCAGAAUUCAGUGAAUCAUCGAAUCUUUGAACGCACAUUGCGCCCGCCAGCAUUCUGGCGGGCAUGCCUGUCCGAGCGUCAUUUCAACCCUCAGGCCCCGUAAUCUCUCGGGGCCUGGCGUUGGGGAUCGGCCCUGCAGCCCAGGGCCGGCCCGAAAUCCAGUGGCGGUCACGCCGCGGCUUCCUCUGCGUAGUAGAAACACCUCGCAUAGGGACGCGGCGCGGCCACGCCGUAAAGCGGCGCGAGCCCAACUUCUUCAAGGUUGACCUCGGAUCAGGUAGGAAUACCCGCUGAACUUAA